rnacentral:lncRNA from 1 species
GGGGCAAGGCUACUCAAGGAGAGUAGGAGGAGGCUAGGUCAGGAAGGGCAAGCACUGGUGGCCUACCCAGGACUUGGCCCAACCCUCUGGGUCAGGUCACCCUCGUCGGAGUGAGCGGACCCCGCUGGAAUUGGAGCCCAGUAAGGUCUAUGAGUUUGGUGUUUUGAUCCUGGCUACCCAUCCCUUCCAUCCCAGGGGUGGUUCACCAGGCUGAGUGGAGCCUUAUACUAGGGAGAGAGGAAGCUGAAGAACUGGGCUCCAGGAAAGCCUCAAGUGGGAGGAGAAAUGCAAAUCCCCUACUGAUGAUGGCGUCAGCGGCUUUCUCCUAGGGACUGUGAGGGGCGCUUCUGACUUUGGACUUGAGCACUGCCUGGGACCUGUGCUGAGAGAGCGCUAGCAUGUCUCAGUGGAAUCAAGUCCAACAGUUAGAAAUCAAGUUUUUGGAGCAGGUGGAUCAAUUCUAUGAUGACAACU